rnacentral:rRNA from 1 species
GACGAACGCUGGCGGCGUGCCUAAUACAUGCAAGUCGAACGAGAGCGACCGGUGCUUGCACUGGUCAAUCUAGUGGCGAACGGGUGAGUAACACGUGGGUAACCUGCCCAUCGGAGGGGGAUAACAUCCGGAAACGGAUGCUAAAACCGCAUAGGUCUUCGAGCCGCAUGGCUUGAAGAGGAAAAGAGGCGCAAGCUUCUGCUGAUGGAUGGACCCGCGGUGCAUUAGCUAGUUGGUGAGGUAACGGCUCACCAAGGCCGUGAUGCAUAGCCGACCUGAGAGGGUGAUAGGCCACAUUGGGACUGAGACACGGCCAAAACUCCUAAGGGAGGCAGCAGUAGGGAAUCGGCCGCAAUGGACGCAAGUCUGACGGAGCAACGCCGCGUGAGUGAAGAAGGUUUUCGGAUCGUAAAACUCUGUUGUUAGAGAAGAACAAGUGCUAGAGUAACUGUUAGCGCCUUGACGGUAUCUAACCAGAAAGCAACGGCUAACUACGUG